CCUACGGGUGGCAGCAGUGAGGAAUAUUCGUCAAUGGACGCAAGUCUGAACCAGCCAUGCCGCGUGCAGGAUGACGGCUCUAUGAGUUGUAAACUGCUUUUGUACGAGGGUAAACCCCUAUGCGUGUAUCGUGUUGAAAGUAUCGUACGAAUAAGGAUCGGCUAACUCCGUGCCAGCAGCCGCGGUAAUACGGAGGGUGCGAGCGUUAAUCGGAAUUGCUGGGCGGAAAGCGAUCGUAGGCGGUAUGUCAAGUCAAGGGUGAAAUCCCCGCGCUCAACGUGGGAACUGCCUUGGAAACUGGCAAACUGGAGUGUGUGAGAGGAUAGUGGAAUUCCAGGUGUAGGAGUGAAAUCCGUAGAUAUCUGGAGGAACAUCAGUGGCGAAGGCGACUAUCUGGCACAUAACUGACGCUGAGGAGCGAAAGCGUGGGUAGCAAACAGGAUUAGAUACCCUAGUAGUC
rnacentral:rRNA from 1 species